rfam:Veillonella parvula DSM 2008, complete genome.
AUAAGUCUUUGGGGAUAGGUGAAAUUCCUUACCGGCGGUAAAGUCCGCGAACCUUUUUGGUAUGAAUCGGUGCAAUUCCGAUACCGACAGUAGAGUCUGGAUGAGAAAAGACGAGG